rnacentral:rRNA from 1 species
UACAUAUGUAUAUGAGUGGCGCACGGGUGCGUAACACGUGAGAAUCUACCCAUAGUUUGUAACAAAAUGUUGCUGUGUAUACCACAAGAUAUAUAUCGGCUAUGGAUGAGCUUGCGGGGUAUUAGGUUGUUGGCGUGGUAAUGGCGCACCAAGCCUGAGAUGCCUAGCCGGUUUGAGAGAACGAUCGGCCACACUGGGACUGAGACACGGCCCAGACGCUUACGAGCGGCAGCAGUGGGGAAUCUUGGACAAUGGGCGCAAGCCUGAUCCAGUGAUAUCGCUUUGGGGAUGACGGCGACAUACGUUGUAAACCCUAUGCACUCUAUAUAGAUAUUGACCGUGUAGAGUGUCCAAGUCCCGGCUAAUUUCGUGCCAGCAGCCGCGGUAAUACGAGAGGGGCAAGCGUUAUUCAAAAUGAUUGGGCGUAAAGCGCACGUAGGUGGUGUUGUGGUGUGUUUUAUAUUCAAACCAUGGGUUUUGUCGAUGUAUACAUACACCAUAACACUUGAGGACGUGAAAGGAGCAUGGAAUUUCCCAGGAAGCGGUAGAAUGUGUUGAUCUGGGAAGGAACACCAAACGCGAAGGCAGUGCUCUUGCACGUACCUGACAUUGAGGUGCGAAAGCGUGGGGAGCAAAAGGGAUUAGAUACCCCUGUAGUCCACGCUGUCAACGAUGACCAUUCCCUAUAUUCUUGAUACACAGGGAUGUGGGUUAGCUAACGCGGUAAAUGGUCCGCCUGAGGAGUACGAUCGCAAGAUUAAAACUCAAAGGAAUAGACGGGGGCUCACACAAGUGGUGGAACAUGUGGUUUAAUUCGAUACUACGCGCAUAACCUUACCAGUUCUUGACAUGAUCCCUAUGGAUCACAGGUGUUGCAUGGCUGUCGUCAGCUCGUGUGGUGACAUGUUGGAUUAAUUUCCCGAACGAGCGAAACCCUGCCACAUUGCACUAUACAUAUGUACGUCAAUGUGGACCGCCAGUGAUAGACUGGAGGCAGGAUAGGAUGACGUCAAGUCCUCAUGACCCUUAUGAACUGGGCUACACACGUGUUACAAUGGUGUGAACAAUACGUAGCAAGACCGAAAGGUGGAGCCAAUCGCUAAAUCACACCUCAGUACGGAUUGGUGUCUGCAACUCGACACCAUCAAGUCGGAAUCACUAGUAAUCGUGGAUCAGCACGCCACGGUGAAUAUGUACCUGAGCCUUGUACUCCCCGCCCGUCACACUCUGGGAGAUGUAUGUAGUGGAAGUACCUACGCAUACAGUGAAUGCCAUGUGUGUUGUGAAUAAUACACAUAUCAUACACUGUACACACUAGGUCCCAGAC